rnacentral:misc_RNA from 1 species
UUAAUUGAUUAUUCGUAAGCUCAGACGGCACUGAUAAACAGAUGUUAAAUGGGCCACCGGCGGGCGCCCGCGAACCCCGAUGAAGGGGCCAGCGCCGGGGGGGGGUAACCCCGAGGCCCGCCAAAGCAACAGUGGAAGAUACACAAAGGGUGGAAAGGUACGGGGCAGAACCCCGGGGCGCGCAGCCCCCCUCUCAAUAAUGAUCCUUCCGCAGGUUCACCUACGGAAA